rnacentral:rRNA from 1 species
GGCGUAAAGGGCUCGCAGGCGGUUUCUUAAGUCUGAUGUGAAAGCCCCCGGCUCAACCGGGGAGGGUCAUUGGAAACUGGGAAACUUGAGUGCAGAAGAGGAGAGUGGAAUUCCACGUGUAGCGGUGAAAUGCGUAGAGAUGUGGAGGAACACCAGUGGCGAAGGCGACUCUCUGGUCUGUAACUGACGCUGAGGAGCGAAAGCGUGGGGAGCGAACAGGAUUAGAUACCCUGGUAGUCCACGCCGUAAACGAUGAGUGCUAAGUGUUAGGGGGUUUCCGCCCCUUAGUGCUGCAGCUAACGCAUUAAGCACUCCGCCUGGGGAGUACGGUCGCAAGACUGAAACUCAAAGGAAUUGACGGGGGCCCGCACAAGCGGUGGAGCAUGUGGUUUAAUUCGAAGCAACGCGAAGAACCUUACCAGGUCUUGACAUCCUCUGACAACCCUAGAGAUAGGGCUUUCCCUUCGGGGACAGAGUGACAGGUGGUGCAUGGUUGUCGUCAGCUCGUGUCGUGAGAUGUUGGGUUAAGUCCCGCAACGAGCGCAACCCUUGAUCUUAGUUGCCAGCAUUCAGUUGGGCACUCUAAGGUGACUGCCGGUGACAAACCGGAGGAAGGUGGGGAUGACGUCAAAUCAUCAUGCCCCUUAUGACCUGGGCUACACACGUGCUACAAUGGACAGAACAAAGGGCUGCAAGACCGCAAGGUUUAGCCAAUCCCAUAAAUCUGUUCUCAGUUCGGAUCGCAGGCUGCAACUCGACUGCGUGAAGCUGGAAUCGCUAG